GGGGCUGUUAUUGGUUUCGACGGAAAAUGUGAAACUAAAAUUGCAAGUAGAAGACGAUUCUUUAAACGUAAAACAAAAUAAAUAACAACAAUUAUAAUUAUGCUUACGCAAUGCCUUGUGCAGCUUAGUUAAUAAACAUGUAAGCGCUUCUUUUAAAAUUUUACUCACGAAUUUUUAAAGAGGCUCAUUUUAGUGAGUUAUAUUAUUUUAUUUGUUUAGGGUAAAAUAACGAAUUGAACUAAACUCGUUAUAUAGUGGGAAUGUUAGUUUCCUUUAUUAUAUAAUUAAAUUUUAAUCACUAACUAAACUUGUAGAUAUUUUGGAAAGAUCCUUUUUCGGACACGAGUUCAAAUCUCGUCAGCUCCACCA
rnacentral:tmRNA from 1 species